ACCUGUAGCGCAGUUGGUUAGAGCAGCGGUCUCAUAAACCGCCGGUCGUGGGUUCAAGUCCCUCCAGGUCC
rnacentral:tRNA from 1 species